GACGAACGCUGGCGGCAUGCCUAAUACAUGCAAGUCGAACGAACCAUCCUGAAGAUUGAAGCUUGCUUCAUGAUUCAGACCUUGGUGAGUGGCGGACGGGUGAGUAACACGUGGGUAACCUGCCCAAAAGUGGGGGAUAACAUUUGGAAACAAGUGCUAAUACCGCAUAACAACUACUUUCACAUGAUCGUAGCUUGAAAGAUGGCUCUGCUAUCGCUUUUGGAUGGACCCGCGGCGUAUUAGCUAGUUGGUGAGGUAAUAGCUCACCAAGGCAAUGAUACGUAGCCGACCUGAGAGGGUAAUCGGCCACAUUGGGACUGAGACACGGCCCAAACUCCUACGGGAGGCAGCAGUAGGGAAUCUUCCACAAUGGGCGAAAGCCUGAUGGAGCAAUGCCGCGUGAGUGAAGAAGGUUUUCGGAUCGUAAAACUCUGUUGUUGAAGAAGAACAUGCGUGAGAGUAACUGUUCACGUACUGACGGU
rnacentral:rRNA from 1 species